UUACGGCCACAACACGUUGAAACAUCGGCUCCCGUACGAUCACCGAAGGUUAAGCAAUGUCGAGCCUGGUCAGUACCGAGAUGAGUGACCGCUUGGAAAUACCAGGUGUUGUGA